GUCUGACGUGCGUUGGCCCCCCAGAGAUGAAGACGCGUCCAUCCUGAGCAGGAUUUAUCUAUAAAUGCGACGCGCUGUGUCCGUGUUGCCGCGGAGCGCCAAGAUGCUUCUAAACGCCACCAUCCCUCUGUCGGUGAACUUCGACACCUGGGAGGACUACCUCAUCUUCACCUUCCACAUCCUGUUCGCCACGUGCGCCGUGCCGAUCGCCGCCUCGGUGGUCGUCGCCAUCUCUUGCACGCGCUCCCUGCGCGGCCAGAACCGUUUCAUCUUUAUGCUGAACACGAGCGUGAGCGACACGCUGACCGGCUUCUCGGUCUACUACCUCGGCCUCUUCGACGUCCAAGAGGGCUACCCGUCCAGAAACGGGACCUACUACAUCUUCCCCUCCUUCCUCGGAGUCAACGUGCUGACCUUCCUCUUCGCCCAGUUCGACCGCUACUUCGCCGUGUGCCACCCGUUCUUCUACAACCGCCACGUAACCCGAGCUGUGGUCAUCGGGAUCUGCGCCUUCUGCUGGAUCUACACGUAUUCCAUCCUCACCGUGCAGAACCUUGUGCCCAUCUCGAAGGCGGCGCAGAUCAACGCGUUCGGCGUGAUGACCCUCCAGAUCAUAGUUUUCGUCAAGGUGUUGAUGACGAUCAAGCUGUACAUCAUAGCCCGGAGCCACCUGGGGAGGGAGGUGCCCAGCCCGGAGCGCGACAACAAGAAGGAGUCGCUGCGCGUCAUCGUGUUCGUGGUCAUCUCCUUCCUGGCGCUGUGGUGUCCGUCCUUCAUCAACAUAAUAGUGAGGCAGCUGACGCAGAAAGGUAUGAGGUUCAGGAACGAGGCCACCAAUCUGUUCGCAAGUAUGGCCCGCCUGAACGCGCUCGUGACCCCGUCAGUGUACAUCUGGGGCAGCCCGGCGCUGCGGGGGGCCGUGUGGAGGACUGUGUGGCGGAGGGUGUUCUGCUGCCGCCGGAGGGCGAGAAUCGGCUUUCACUUGGACGGAGUGAGGAAACAUUGAUGAUGAAACAGCAUCAUGAGGAGAAAUUGUUGAAGAGAAUUACUCUCUCAUCUAUACCGGAUAUAGGUCAAACGAGAGGUAUUUCAGGCAAUCAAUACAGGGAUAUAGACUCAGACAUUUCUUACACUUCUUUUUGGAAACAAUAUUUUAUUCACAGGAAUCAAUAAACUGGUUAUAUUUGUGAUAAAAGCCAUUGCAAAAUUACAGAAUAACACGUAAGGUGUUUUUUUAAACAACUAUCUCUGAAAUAAUCAUCAUUUAUUAAAAAAACAUUCCGUCAUGGUUCGUCGUGACCGCUGGCCAGGGCGCUGAUCCCGCAUCAGGGCGCACGAGCUGACGUUUAAUUGUUCGGAACCACAGGGGCCCGAGUUUGCCGGUAUAAAGCUCGCUUGGUUUCUCUGAUGUUUGGGGGACAAUCUAUCUUUGUUUGCAACGUUUGGUUGAACCAAAAACUUUGAAGUGGAGCUCUCCUUGGUUCUGGAUUGAGGUUUUUUUCACUUGACGUAGAGUUCCUUGCAGUUGCCCCGUCGCAGAUGAUGUGAACACAGUUGCAUUUGAAAUGUAACUAAUGUCACAGUAACCUGGUAAAUGUAAAUCAGAUGCUUAUUAUUGCAGAAUAACGAGGAGCAGGACGGCAGCGUUCUUCCACAGCAGGUUGUUCGUACUUCCAGGCCCGCGGUAUUGCGCUGCUUGUAGUUUUUGUGCCUAUCCUGUCUCUUAAACAAUGACAUUCAUUUUCAUUGUUAGUCAUUUACAAAAUCAAGUAUGUUAUGUCUGUAUGGUCAAUAUGAGGAUACUGUUCAAAAUGUUCAUGUAUAUUUAAUACGAGACAAGUCAUUUUUGUAUGCAUUAUCGAAUGGUUAGUCAUUGUG
ensembl:lncRNA